rnacentral:rRNA from 1 species
AGUGAACGCUGGCGGUAGGCCUAACACAUGCAAGUCGAACGGCAGCACAGUAAGAGCUUGCUCUUACGGGUGGCGAGUGGCGGACGGGUGAGGAAUACAUCGGAAUCUACUUUUUCGUGGGGGAUAACGUAGGGAAACUUACGCUAAUACCGCAUACGACCUACGGGUGAAAGCAGGGGACCUUCGGACCUUGCGCGAUUGAAUGAGCCGAUGUCGGAUUAGCUAGUUGGCGGGGUAAAGGCCCACCAAGGCGACGAUCCGUAGCUGGUCUGAGAGGAUGAUCAGCCACACUGGAACUGAGACACGGUCCAGACUCCUACGGGAGGCAGCAGUGGGGAAUAUUGGACAAUGGGCGCAAGCCUGAUCCAGCCAUACCGCGUGGGUGAAGAAGGCCUUCGGGUUGUAAAGCCCUUUUGUUGGGAAAGAAAAGCAGCAGGUUAAUACCCCGCUGUUCUGACGGUACCCAAAGAAUAAGCACCGGCUAACUUCGCG